CCCGCCCCUGGGACCCUCGGGGCCGGGGAGGGUUUCGCCCCUCUGCGUCCCAUAAUCGGGCGCCCGAGAAGGCAGGCGGCAAGGCGCAUUCCGGGAUCCAAGUUUCUUCACCAUGGGGAUGUGGUCCAUUGGUGCAGGAGCCCUGGGGGCUGCUGCCCUGGCACUGCUCCUGGCCAACACAGAUGUGUUUCUGUCCAAGCCACAGAAAGCAGCACUGGAGUAUCUGGAGGAUAUAGACCUGAAAACAUUAGAGAAGGAACCAAGGACUUUCAAAGCAAAGGAGCUGUGGGAAAAGAAUGGAGCUGUGAUCAUGGCUGUGCGGAGGCCAGGCUGUUUCCUCUGUCGAGAGGAGGCUGCAGACCUGUCCUCCCUGAAACCCAAGUUGGAUGAGCUGGGCGUCCCUCUCUAUGCAGUGGUGAAGGAGCACGUUAGGACUGAAGUGAAGGACUUCCAGCCUUAUUUCAAAGGAGAAAUCUUCCUGGAUGAAAAGAAAAGGUUCUAUGGUCCUCAAAGGCGGAAGAUGAUGUUUAUGGGAUUCAUCCGUCUGGGGGUGUGGUACAACUUCUUCCGAGCCUGGAAUGGAGGCUUCUCUGGAAACCUGGAAGGUGAAGGCUUCAUCCUCGGGGGAGUUUUUGUGGUGGGACCAGGAAAACAGGGCAUUCUUCUCGAGCACCGAGAAAAAGAAUUUGGAGACAAAGUAAACCCACUCUCUGUUUUGGAAGCUGCUAGGAAGAUCAAGCCACAGACUUCGACCUCAGAGAAAAAAUGAGUGUAUGCAGCUGCCCGAGGCAGGAUGACUAGGGGCAACCACCAGGGUUCUCAGAAGCUGUCAGGUUUCCACGCGUCCCUAAGGAGUUAGAAACCCACCUGUGCUGUGUUCUCAGUAUGGAUUGUUAGCAUAUUUUAAUACUGUCUUCUCUUUAUGCCCAGUAAGGAAAAGUAGCCCCAAAACAGGGCUAACAGAAAUCUAAGAAAUCUGUAAGGGUUAUUUUAGCUAAAACCUGGAAAAUAUGAGGUUUAAAAUUGCUGCACCUCAUUACAAAUGUAUAUAGUGUUUGGGUGCUGUUAUUUGAAAUGAUUUUUAUUUUUAUGUCUCAAAAAUCUAAGAAAAGUUGAUUGGGAGAUUGGAGGAUAUAAGGUUUUUGACUUCUAUGGUUUCUAUUAAUAAAUUAUUAUAUAAUGUCAAAGUAUAACUCAUAUGUUCCAGAUUAAUUUGAUAAAGAUAAAUAAUA